GUGUGUGCUUGUGUAUCUGCGUCUGCGUCUGUGUGCUUGUGUAUCUGUGUGUCUGUGUGCUUGUGUGUCUGUGUCUGUGUCUGUGAGUGUGUGUGCUUGUGUGUCUGUGUCUGCGUCUGUGUGCGUCUGCGUCUGUGUGUCUGUGUGCUUGUGUGUCUGUGUCUGUGUCUGUGUGUCUGUGUCGGGAUACAGGAAGCGUCCAGCGAGUCGCUGCUGACUGCACGUGUUCCGCAAAGCCCAGAGCGUGCCAGUCUCGGACGAUAACUGGACCGUAUUGCGUCAUCGGGAUCGUGCUUUCGCCGCCUUACCGACGACGAGCUUCGCUUGCAAUGAAGUACGCACCAUCGAAGCAUCCUUGAGGCAGCAUGCGCUGGAUGCGCGCUACCAUCAGGGUAGCAUCCAUCGCUGCCCUCUCUUUCACCGUCUCACUCUACAUCAGAAGACGUUCGACGCGCCUCAGACCCGCCUUGAUAUCGGGAUCGGGUGCUCGGUGCGUCACGCGCUGCUCAAGGUGCCACGGGGCAUCUGGCAGGUGCUUGCGAUACCACCAGGGCUGGUGGUGUGAAACCGGAGCCCGCCCGGAGCAAAUGCACCCGCGUCGGAUGAUCGGAUGCAGAUGCGUGGUGUCCGCUGGAGAGUAUUUUCGGUUCUUCCGGUCGCUUUACCUGGGAUGAACAUUCGGAUACGCGUCUGUGCUGCUCGUUCGAUCGAGUCCGUUUACCACUUGCUUGCUCCGUGUCUAGAAAUGCUGCGCUAUGUAGUUGGCCAAGUCCACAACCCGUUGACUGUAGCCAUACUCGUUGUCGUACCAGGCUACCACUUUGACGAGCGUAUCACCCAUCACCGUCGUCAGCGCUGCAUCCACAAUGCUUGAGUUGACGUUCAUCCGAUAAUCCGAUGAGACGAGCGGCUCAUCGCUCACCGCCAGGAUACCCUUCAUUGGCCCUUCCGCUGCUCGUACGAAAGCUGCAUUCACUUCCUCCUUGAACGUUGGUUUCUUCACCGUGCAGACAAAGUCGACGAUAGAAACGUUCGGGGUCGGCACUCGCAGGGCAAUGCCGGUGAGCUUGCCCUUCACUGGUGGAUACACCAGCGCAACCGCCUGCGCGGCACCCGUCGAGGUCGGCACGAUGUUCAACGCGGCCGCACGGGCGCGACGCAGGUCGCGAUGCGAUGCAUCCAGCAGACGCUGGUCCCCGGUAUACGAAUGCGUCGUGGUCAUCAUGCCGGAAACGAUGCCGAAUUCCUCGUCGAGCACCUUCACGAACGGUGCCAUGCCGUUGGUGGUGCACGACGCGUUGCUCACCACAUGGUCGGUGGCGUGGUUAUACUGGGUGUUGUUCAGACCCAUGACAAAGGUCGGGACGCCUUCGCCUUUCGCUGGCGCUGUGAUGACCACCUUUUUGGCACCCGCUUCGAUGUGCUUGCCUGCCCCGUCCCUUGAGAUAAAGACACCCGUUGCCUCGAUGACGAUGUCGACGUUGAGGUCCCUCCAAGGCAGCUGGGUCGGAUCGCGGUUGCUGACAACGGUAACCGGCUUCCCGUCAAUGAGCAUGGUACUCUCCCCGCUAACCUUCACGUCAAACGGUGCAAUUCCCAGAAUAGAGUCGUACUUCAGCAGAUGAGCGGCAGUUUUGAUGCCAGCCGUAUCGUUGAUCCCCACCAGCUCCAGGUUCGCGUUCGGGGUCGCUUGCAGGCAGCGCACAAAGUUGCGUCCGAUGCGACCGAACCCGGAAACCGCUACCCGCACCUUCAUCACAAGAUUCGAGUGCGCAGCACGUUGCCGGCUCCGCGUCAGCGGCACACCUAAGCUUCGCGUACGUGCAGUGAAGGCACCAGGCUGGUCACCAGCCUGCAGCCGGGGUCCGACGGCCUCGCGGCUCGUAGCGCGCACCGCCGUGCCGCGAAAACCACCAACUGGAGCUACGAAAGCAGCACACGUAAACACCA